UACGUAGGGUGCAAGCGUUGUCCGGAAUCAUUGGGCGUAAAGCGCGCGUAGGUGGUCAUGUAAGUCCGCUGUGAAAGUCAAAGGCUCAACCUUUGAAAGCCGGUGGAUACUGCAUGACUAGAGUACGGAAGAGGCGAGUGGAAUUCCUGGUGUAGCGGUGAAAUGCGCAGAUAUGCGGAGGAACACCGAUGGCGAAGGCAAUCCCCUGGACCUGUACUGACGCUCAUGCACGAAAGCGUGGGGAGCAAACAGG
rnacentral:rRNA from 1 species